AAUUACUCCACGUGUCAAACAGAAGGGCACGAGAGCUACACGUGUGUGUGCGUGUUCUCCACCUGUCUGCUAGCUCCGCCCCCCCCUCUCCUCCUCCCUGCUCAGCAGUCAGAGCUGUGACGUCUGGCAUCCCAACUCUCUCCAGGAAACACAUCUCAGGAUCGGCUCGCAUGGCGUUGUAUCUCUCGUAGCCUGAUGAGCAGGUUCUUCUCCACCCUGAAGCACUCGGCCCUCAGGUACCGGCGGCUGCGCUCCCCCAGGCGACGGGUCCGACACGGCCGGUCCUCGGAGUCGCUAUCCAGCUCGGAGAACUCCAUCAACUCGUCGUCCUCGAAGGAGUUGUAGUGGCGGGUCUGC
ensembl:lncRNA